GUUUACAUAACAUGCUACUGUGGCGGUGGCACACCUAGUCAACACGUGAGAUCAUGCGAUGAUCAAAGUGACAUCACACAAUCCUCAUACUGUGAUCCUCAGCAUGUGUGUAAAGUGUGAGCUCAACGUGAGUUCAUCUGAUCCUCAUACUGUGAUCCUCAGCAUGUGUGUAAAGCGUGAGAUCAUUGUGAAUGCUUCACAUUCCGGUCCAGUUGGUGGUGGUAAAUGCAUCAUCUAAGCUGGUCUUCCAACCACCAUAAAACAUGUAAAGAAGAAGAAAAAGUUGUGCAUGGGAUUGUUACACCGCAGAAAUGAUUUUGAAGGAACAUGACAUUGAUGUUCCAGCAGACGGACGAACACUAUUGAAAACACCUCGUUCUGGCAGUUUGAGAGUAACAGAAAAAUCAGGUGGCAAAUACACAUAUUUUGGAUUAAAGGAAGGUCUUACGCAUACUCUGUCUGAGCAAGACACUUCAAAAUACGACCACUUUGAGAUUUCUUUGAAUAUUGAUGGCCUACCCAUUUUCAAGUCCAAAAACCUCACAAUGUGGCCACUUCAGUGUGCUGUCAUCAACAUUGAUGAAGUGAAAAACAGUCCUUUUGUUGUUGCUCUGUUUUCUGGAGCAAAGAAACCAAAUGAUUUGGAGUUUUUGAGGGAUUUUAUGGAGGAUCUACAAGAACUGAUGAAACAGGCUUUAAAGGGAAGAGAAUUGUUCUCAAAAACAUCAUAUGUGAUGUACCAGCACGAGCCCUCAUCAAAGGAAUAGUUCAGUUUAAUGGCCGCUAUGGCUGUGACUUUUGUGAUGUAAAGGGAGUUCAUGAGAGUAAAAUGCUUUUUUUGUAUAAAGGAAAUCUCAGAACCAAUGAGUCAUUUAGACAGAAGACAAAUCCUGAACAUCACAAAACAGAUAGGAGAUAGACAUUGAUAUGAUCAGGCAGUUCCCAAUAGAUCCCAUGCAUUGUGUAGACCUAGGAGUGACUAAGCGAAUGUUAAUGCUGUGGAAAGAAGGACCUUUGGCCCAUAGAUUAUCAGCUGGACAUCUUAGCACCAUUACUUAUUUUCAUCAAGCUGUCCGACAUCACAUACCUCCUGAAUUCAGUAGGAAACCCAGGGGGUUAGAUGAACUGAAGUACUGGAAAGCAACUGAAUUCCAAACAUUUUUGCUUUAUACUGGACCAGUAAUUUUGAAAUAUGUUCUCGAUAAGGAGAAGUAUAUUCACUUCCUUUCACUUAGUAUUGGAAUGCGCAUCUUGUACAGUGAAAACCUAAUGGAGCAUCGUGAUUAUGCAGAUGAGCUGUUAACAUAUUUUGUUGAAAAAGGUAGCAACCUGUAUAGCAUGAGUUUCAUCUCAUAUAAUGUGCAUUGCUUGCUACAUCUCACUGAUUUUGCAAAUUACAACAGAUCAUUACACUAUUGUUCAGCGUACAAGUUUGAGAACAAUAUGGGUCAAAUCAAGAGGUUUAUCCACGGUUCAAGUGAUCCACUGAUUCAAGUAGCUAACAGAUUGGCAGAGAGGCAAGCAAUAUCAAGUUCUAAGAAAUCAAAUGUUAACUCUGGUACGCCAAAGACAAAAGAAUGUUAAUGGAACCUUUGUACACUAAGCCAUGUGACUCCAGAAUAAUUGGCAUAUUCAAUGGAUUUCGGAAUCACACUAAAAUGUUACAUACUGACACCACUCAACUGAGACAUAAAGCAAUCAUGAUACCUUUGUCCUUGAUUGAUAAAGAUGAAUACAAUGCGGUAGCGCUUAUACCGCUCAUGCAUUCAGUUUGAUUAGUUAGUCAAGUAGGUCAGUAAGGCAGGGUUUUUGCCUGUUUUAUUGCAUGUUAUCCUGAUUUUGAUCCAAAGACUAUGAAUAGUGUGUGUGUGUGUGUGUGUGUGUGUGUGUGUGUGUGUGUGUGUGCGUGUGUGUGUUUUUUUUUUUUUUACAUUGUACCAAAUGUCCCCACAAUUAAAGUGAACCACCUACAUGUGUAUUGUGGAUAAAACGAUCAGGGAAAAAACGGUUUAAUUGAUGUAGAAAAAUAAAUAUAGAAACAAUAUAACUGAUUUAGAUAAAUGCAAUUUCACUGACCUUAUGUAUGUAAUUUUGAUAACAGGGAAGGAACCAAAGGAAACAAAAUGCAAAGAGUCACCAUGGAGAAAUUGUUUGAUCUGAAUACUAAGAUACUCCAACAAAUUCAAAUGCUGGAACAGAGACAAGCUGUCAUCAUGAAUGACUUGGCAAAAGUUAAGUCUGUUCUCAUGAAGCGGGCAGAAGAAGAUGCCCAUGAGGAACUUUUUAAACAACAAUAGUGCUCCAGCUUUGAAACGUUUGAAGCCUUCUGUCAGAGGCUUGAAGAAGACAAAAAUUAUCGAGAGCUUUAUGUACACUAUCUCAUCCAUACUCACAGCAGCUCCAAUAUAGGUGAGAUGGUGAGAUAGGCUUUAAAAAGCAUAGCGUCAGACAAUGUUCUCUGUCUGUAUAACAGAAUGGGGAAAGAUGGGAAGAAGGUGUUGCCACCUGUGCUCCUGACAUGUUUGAAAAAAUGUGUCAGGUCUUUUCACAAACAAAAUGAAAUAGAGGUGAAGAAGCUAAAAGUAACCACCAGAACAACACCAGACGCGGAAUGUAUUCGCCAAGUAGAAUUUUUUUUGUCCAACGCCUACACCAGGCUGAAAAGGAAACCAAAUAAAGGAAAAAGCUGA